rnacentral:rRNA from 1 species
GAUGAACGCUGGCGGCGUGCCUAAUACAUGCAAGUCGAGCGAACAGACGAGGAGCUUGCUCCUCUGACGUUAGCGGCGGACGGGUGAGUAACACGUGGAUAACCUACCUAUAAGACUGGGAUAACUUCGGGAAACCGGAGCUAAUACCGGAUAAUAUAUUGAACCGCAUGGUUCAAUAGUGAAAGACGGUUUUGCUGUCACUUAUAGAUGGAUCCGCGCCGCAUUAGCUAGUUGGUAAGGUAACGGCUUACCAAGGCAACGAUGCGUAGCCGACCUGAGAGGGGGAAUCGCCACACUGGAACUGAGACACGGUCCAGACUCCUACGGGAGGCAGCAGUAGGGAAUCUUCCGCAAUGGGCGAAAGCCUGACGGAGCAACGCCGCGUGAGUGAUGAAGGUCUUCGGAUCGUAAAACUCUGUUAUUAGGGAAGAACAAAUGUGUAAGUAACUAUGCACGUCUUGACGGUACCUAAUCAGAAAGCCACGGCUAACUACGUG